GCCCGGGCGCCCUCCGGUACAAGCUCGGCUCUCUCUGCGUCGUGUGCCCACGGGCUCCUGGGAGGAAGCGGGCAGUUCUGCGGGAAGGCGCAGGGCUCAUCCCCGAGGGGCCCGAGGCCGCUGGAGGGGUGCCCGGGCGCUCGGCUCCGGGAGGAAGGUAGCUGCCCAGGGGAGUAGUACUGGGGGUGCCCUCUCUCCGAGAGCCUGGAAGCCCUUUUCCGGGGUCUCGUCCGCUUUGAACCGCCUCCAGCCACUCGAGGCAGUGCAGGGCAACGCCAGCUCUCUGUGGACCUGGCCCGGGAUCCUUUGCCCAAACCUGCUCCUGCGAUUUUUGCGCGUCGGUCGCGGAACCCAAGCUGCGCGCGCAGGGCAGGACUCAGACGCGCCUCCUGGGUGCCCGGACGCCGCGUCGCCUCCGAAGACUGCUCUCCGAGCUCAGGAGCUCCCGGGGGGCUUGGGGAGAGACAACCCCAAGGCAAGGGCUUUAGGGGAGCUGCUGCGGAGCCCGGGGCUUGGAGGAGCGGGGCAUGUAUUUUAAGCUGCGCCUCAGAGGGGAGACUUUGCUGGCACCACCAGAGAGGCCACAGACCCGGAAUGUGACGACAAUUGACUAGCUCGGUAGAGGCCUGAGAGUCUCUGGCUUGACAGCUUAGAAUAUGCUAAAAAAACAGGGCUUUCCAGGAGGCACUGAAGGGUCAACUUGUCCCCGCGACAGUGACCUGGAGCAAGGAAGACAGAAGACGGUUGUAGAGAGCAAGAGAGACCUUCCAAGGGGCUGACUCGGACUGCCAAGGGCAGGCUCCUGCCAUUCGGCUGUUGCAGCCGUCUGGUGGAAUGCUGGUGAGGUCGUCCACCCCGGAGAGCAAGUGGGGCUGGGCAAGGGACUGUGUGGCCUGUGAGGACUCCUGCAGGUCUGACCGAUCCCCAAUCCCUGCCUAGGAACUUGGGGGUGUCCGAGCCCCUCUCUGUGCUAGUCUUCAGGAAGAUGAGGACUCUCAACACGUCUGCCAUGGAAGGCACUGGGCUGGUGGCGGAGAGAGACUUCUCCUUCCGCAUUCUCACAGCCUGUUUCCUGUCUCUGCUCAUCCUGUCCACCCUCCUGGGGAACACGCUGGUCUGUGCCGCGGUGAUCAGGUUCCGCCACCUGCGAUCCAAGGUGACUAACUUCUUCGUCAUUUCCUUGGCUGUAUCGGAUCUCUUGGUGGCCGUCUUGGUCAUGCCCUGGAAAGCGGUGGCCGAGAUCGCUGGCUUCUGGCCCUUCGGGUCCUUCUGUAACAUCUGGGUGGCCUUUGACAUCAUGUGCUCCACCGCAUCCAUCCUCAACCUCUGUGUGAUCAGUGUGGACAGGUAUUGGGCCAUCUCUAGCCCCUUCCGGUAUGAGAGGAAGAUGACCCCCAAGGCAGCCUUCAUUCUGAUCAGUGUGGCAUGGACUUUGUCGGUUCUUAUCUCCUUCAUCCCCGUGCAGCUCAGCUGGCACAAGGCAAAACCCACAGGUCCCUCCGAGGGGAAUGCCACUUCCCUGGGCAAGACCAUCAACAACUGUGACUCCAGCCUGAGCAGGACAUAUGCCAUUUCAUCCUCUCUAAUAAGCUUUUACAUCCCCGUGGCCAUCAUGAUUGUCACCUACACCAGGAUCUACAGGAUCGCCCAGAAACAAAUACGGCGCAUCGCAGCCUUGGAGAGGGCAGCGGUCCACGCCAAGAGCUGCCAGGCCGCUACAGGUAACGGAAACCCCAUGGAGUGUUCUCAACCAGAGAGCUCCUUUAAGAUGUCCUUCAAAAGAGAGACUAAAGUUCUGAAGACUCUGUCGGUGAUCAUGGGGGCCUUUGUGUGCUGCUGGCUCCCUUUCUUCGUCUUGAACUGCAUGGUGCCCUUCUGUGGGUCUGGAGAGACGAAGCCCUUCUGCAUCGAUUCCAUCACCUUUGACGUGUUUGUGUGGUUUGGGUGGGCUAAUUCCUCCUUGAACCCCAUCAUUUAUGCCUUUAAUGCUGAUUUUCGGAAGGCAUUUUCCACCCUCUUAGGAUGCUACAGGCUUUGCCCGACGACGAAUAAUGCCAUAGAGACGGUUAGCAUCAAUAACAAUGGAGCUGUGGUGUUUCCCAGCCAUCACGAGCCUCGGGGUUCCAUCUCCAAGGACUGCAAAGUGGUGUACCUGAUCCCGCAUGCUGUGGGCUCCUCUGAGGGCCUGAAGAAGGAAGAGGCAGGUGGAAUAGCCAAGCCCUUGGAGAAGCUGUCCCCAGCCCUGUCUGUCAUUUUGGACUAUGACACUGAUGUCUCUCUUGAGAAGAUCCAGCCCAUCACGCAGAAUGGGCAGCACCCGACCUGAGCUCUGAGACGAAUCCUAGCAGUCAUGCUUGUCCCAAAAGCUACAGGAGUUUUCUCUGAGGCUUGCAGUAAGGAAACUAAGGUGUGCUGAGACUCCUGAGAUGUCGGGCGAGCUCUCCUCUGCUGCUUCCCCUCAACACACAACUAUCUACAUUUUAAUCUACGUUGCAGUGUGUUUUCUGUGUUGUUCAUAGUGAAUCAAGAGGGACACAGGUGAAGCGAAUGUUCAUAAGGGACCUGUCUUUGGCUCCAAAUUUAUUUUUAGAAACUGAUUCUUAUCUUAGGACUUAAAAAUAGGGCAAAGAAUCAACAAUGAACAGCUUCGCUUUAAAAUUAAAGCUUUCCAGGAAGGAAAUGAGAAGGGUUGAGUUUGCUGUGUACAAACAGGUGCUAACACUGGUCCAAGCAAAGUUUUCAGAUUGUAAAGAUAGCUGUUCUGAACCAGAUAAAUGACUGUCCUGGUUAGAGAUGUGCGGUGAAGACAGAGUUUCCUUAACUCGUGUGUCACAACAGUCUCACCCAGGGGCAAAGGUCAAGUCCUUCAUCUCCAUCUUACCAGCCAAGCUGCUCAGUGGGGCUACUUUUGGUAAUGCUUUAAUCUGAACUUAGAGUUGAUUUCUUUUAAAAAGUCUAAAUGUUAAUGGUGUAAAUCUAGCAGAUAGUGCCUCAUUAUCAUCCUUGAGUAAGACACUUCUGUUGGCGGCAAAAACAGGAGACCCUUUCUCCUUUCGUGUUAAGCACCCUAAAGCCAUCAGCAUCUCUUUGGACAAAUGCUAGCCCUUUCUCUGUGCUUUGGCAUCAAGUUCCUGUGUUAUCACCUGGAUUGUAAAAAGUAUUCUGAGUCUCUGUUGCCAGAUACUAAUUCAUGUGGGGCAUUUCAAGAGAAUUUUUGGAAAUGUUUACAAAGUAUUCUUGUGGAUAAGUAAUCUACUUAACAUUCAGUUGUAGUAGGUAACAAGAAAGAUAUCUACUGAAAACUAUCUCCUGCAUCAGGUCUGUGUUAUUUAUGCAUUGUGAAUGUUUUCUUAAUUUUAU